rnacentral:lncRNA from 1 species
GUAUCAGUAGCAACAGGCUGCACUGAUACCUUCCCUGAUAGCUCAGCCUUGCACAAAAAAACAGUGGCAUUUGUGGCUGGAAAUUUUAGCUUCUUCAUGGAGUCUUCAGGGGCUCAGAACCUCCCAGGAGCUCAGUGGGAGACUCUUCCCAACCUUACACUUCAUGUGGAGGACGAACUCUGUGCUGUCUCCAUGGAAUGGGAAGGACUUGGAUGCUGCAGGAAGACUUCCCUCUUCACCCCUCAUGAGCAGGUCCUGUGUUAUGUGGAAGCGUGCAGCAAUCUGGUCUGGAUGAAGAAAAUACCUCAGAAAGCCCAAGAGGAAUUUUUGCUUUGA